rnacentral:rRNA from 1 species
GUGUCAGCAGCCGCGGUAAGACGAACCGUGCGAACGUUAUUCGGAAUCACUGGGCUUAAAGCGCGUGUAGGCGGGCCGGCGCGUCGGUCGCUGAAAUCCCCCGGCUCAACCGGGGAAGGGGCACCGAUACGGCCGGCCUGGAGGGGGGUAGGGGGCGCUGGAACUCACGGUGGAGCGGUGAAAUGCGUUGAGAUCGUGAGGAACGCCCGCGGCGAAAGCGAGCGCCUGGACCCUUUCUGACGCUGAGACGCGAAAGCCAGGGGAGCGAACGGGAUUAGAUACCCCUGUAGUCC